GCAGGAGAAGCAAGAUGAAGUCACAGACCCAGGUCCUCAUAUCCCUGCUGCUUUGGGUGUCUGGUGCCUGUGCAGACAUUGUGAUGACACAGUCUCCAUCCUCCCUGGCUGUGUCAGCAGGAGAGAAAGUCACCAUCCGCUGCAGAUCCAGUCAGAGUCUUUUACACAGUGUAAUCAGAGAGAACUUAUUGUCCUGGUACCAGCAGAAACCAGGGCAAUCCCCUAAGCUGCUGAUCUACUGGGCAUCCAAUCGAUACACUGGGGUCCCUGAUCGCUUCACAGGCAGUGGAUCUGGGACAGAUUUCACUCUCAGCAUCAGCAGUGUGCAGGCUGAAGACCUGGCCAUUUAUUACUGUCAGCAGGGUAUUAGUACUCCUCCCACAGUGCUUCAGCCUCAAACACAAACCUCCUUGAGAGUCUCACCAGCUGCCUGCAACACACACAGCCCGGGGCCUGCACACUUCCCUCUUCUGCCUGAUAGCAGUUCUAAUUGUGUCUCCCGCCUGGAACAGUUACCUCCAACAGGCUUUAUCUUGGCCAAGGCCUUCUUUCCAAGCAGUCAAAUGCUUCAUGGCCAGGCUCUAGCAUUUGAAAGAAACAGGUAUGUUACAGACUACAUGAAAUUGCUGGAGAUCUCCAGAUAUCGUAAAACUGAGUGGUUCUCUGAGUGA